rnacentral:rRNA from 1 species
GAUGAACGCUGGCGGCGUGCCUAACACAUGCAAGUCGAACGGAGUCCAGCCUUUAAGACCUUCGGGUCAAAGAGGGGAAGACUGAGUGGCGGACGGGUGAGUAACACGUGGGCAACCUGGCUCAUAGAGGGGGAUAACAGAGAGAAAUUUCUGCUAAUACCGCAUAAGCACACACUGCCGCAUGGCAGAGGGUGAAAAGAGAAUCGCUAUGAGAUGGACCCGCGUCUGAUUAGCCAAUUGGCAGGGUAAGAGCCUACCAAAGCGACGAUCAGUAGCCGAUCUGAGAGGAUGAACGGCCACAUUGGGACUGAGACACGGCCCAAACUCCUACGGGAGGCAGCAGUGGGGGAUAUUGCACAAUGGGGGGAACCCUGAUGCAGCGACGCCGCGUGAGUGAAGAAGUAUUUCGGUAUGUAAAGCUCUAUCAGCAGGGAAGAUAAUGACAGUACCUGAAUAAGAAGCCCCGGCUAACUACGUG